rnacentral:SRP_RNA from 1 species
GCUGGGUGUGAUGGCUCACACCUGUAAUCCCUGCACUAUGGGAGGCCGAGGUGGGCGGAUCACCUGAGGUCAGGAGUUCGAGACCAGCCUGACCAACAUGGGGAAACCCCAUCUCUA